GAUGAACGCUGGCGGCGUGCUUAACACAUGCAAGUCGAACGGAAAGGCCCUGCUCUUGUGCGGUGCUCGAGUGCCGCACGGGUGAGUAUAACGCGAGUAUCCCGCCCUUGACUUUGGGAUAACUCUAGGAAACUGGGGCUCAUACCGGAUAGAAGCUCCUGCUGCAUGGUGGGGGUUGGAAAGAUUCGGCGGUUCGGGCUGGACUGGCGGCUUAUCAGCUUGUUGGGGUGGUAGUGGAUUACCAAGGCUUCGAAGGGUAGCCGGCCUGAGAGGGUGACCGGGCACAUUGGGACUGCGAUACGGCCCAGACUCGUACGGGAGGCAGCGGUGGGGAAUAUUGCACAAUGGGGGGAAGCCUGAUGCAGCAGCGCCGCGUGCGGGAUGACGGCCUUCGGGUUGUAAACCGCUUUCGCCUGUGACGAAGCGUGAGUGACGGUACCGGAUAAAGAAGCGCCGGCUAACUACGUG
rnacentral:rRNA from 1 species